AUGAUUGAGAGGUCAACCAACCUUGACUGGUACAAGGGACCAACUCUUCUUGAGGCUCUUGACCAGAUCAACGAGCCCAAGAGGCCAUCAGACAAGCCCCUUCGUCUUCCACUUCAGGAUGUCUACAAGAUUGGUGGUAUUGGAACGGUGCCAGUGGGACGUGUUGAGACUGGUAUGAUCAAGCCUGGUAUGGUUGUUACCUUUGCUCCCACAGGGUUGACCACUGAGGUUAAGUCUGUUGAGAUGCACCACGAGUCUCUUCUUGAGGCACUUCCCGGUGACAAU
rnacentral:lncRNA from 1 species